GCUCAUAUUAACUGUGGGGUUUUCAUAUAUAGCCUUUAUUAUGUUCAGGUAUGUUCCCUCUAAGCCUACUUCUUUUUUUUUAUGUUAUGUUACUCACCAUACAGUAUGUCAUUUGUUUUUGGUGUAGUGUUCCAUGAUUCAUUGUUCACAUGUAACACCCAGUGCUCCGUGCAAUGUGUGCCCUCCUUAGUACGCAUUACCAGGCUAACUCAUCUCCCCACCACCUUUCCAUUUAAAGCCCUCAGUUUGUGGGCACCUGGAUAAUCUUUUUAAUUUAAGUUGGAUCCUAUUAGCUAGGAUCUUGUUGAGAAUCUUAGUAUCCAUAUUCAUCAGGGAUAUUGGUCUGAAAUUCUCCUUUUUGGUGGGGUCUUUGCCUGGCUUG
rnacentral:lncRNA from 1 species